CUGGCUGACCUCUUGGUUCAAACUGGCCGGUGCGCAUAAGCAGCCAGGUGCAGGGAUGUGGGUACCGGGAUCCAGGGGAACCUACCCUCCCAAAGGCAUGGAACCCUGUGCUAGCGCCUCCGCCCUCUCCCACCGCGCUCCCCUCUGUCCCCGUUAUCCAGGGCAGCCUGGACAUCGUGACCUGCACCGUGGCCGUGAGAAGAGACGACCCAGAGAGAGCUCGUGCUGCAUGCAGCCCUGGGCCUCAGAGUUGAUGAGCUGUGUGCCUCUGCUCAGGAGCCCCUGAGGAGCUUCUGAACACCUGCUUUGGGACUCUGGCCUCUGAGGACAUCCCGGAUUGGCCUCCUAGUGGAGAUGUGCACUGUGAUCUCCAGAAAGUCAAGGCCAAACAGGCUACCUGAACUACAUAGCAAGACCCCUGCCUCAACAAAAUAAAAUAUCAUCCAUGUCAUUCACAAUCAAACACACCCUGCCUCUCCCCACUCUUUCUCUACUGGGGACU